rnacentral:rRNA from 1 species
CGCGUAGGCGGCUUGUACAGUCAGACGUGAAAUUCCUGGGCUCAACCUGGGGGCUGCGUUUGAUACGUGCGGGCUUGAGUUCGGAAGAGGGUCGUGGAAUUCCCAGUGUAGAGGUGAAAUUCGUAGAUAUUGGGAAGAACACCGGUGGCGAAGGCGGCGACCUGGUCCGAUACUGACGCUGAGGCGCGAAAGCGUGGGGAGCAAACA